rnacentral:RNase_P_RNA from 1 species
CGCUCUUCACGUUGUGAGGAGCGGAACUCUUGACAGGGCAACGCGCCUGGUAACGCCAGGGGGCGCAAUGGGGAGCACAGGCUAAAGCCUGUGCCACUCGGAGCGCUACGGAAAGUGCCACAGAGAAUAGACCGCCGGCGGAGCGCAGCACGGUGGCAUCGCGCAGGGAAACCUGCGAGACGUCUUCGAAGAGCACGCAUCGUUUGGCAAGGGUGAAAAGGUGGGGUAAGAGCCCACCGCUCCGGUGGUGACACCGGAGGCACGGAAAACCCCGCGUGGUGCAAGGCCAAAUAGGAGGGGAGAGCCGGCCCGGCUCGAUGAGCGAAAGCUCCUUUUGCGGUGGCUCAAGCCACUGCAGAUGAAAACCCUCGGGUAGGCUGCUGGAGUCACGGUGCGAAUCGUGACCUAGAGGAAUG